CCCUUAGAUGUCCUGGGCCGCACGCGCGCUACAAUGACUCACUCAGAAAGUUUUUCCUGAUCCGGAAGGAUUCGGGUAAUCUUCAUAGUAUGAGUCGUGUUAGGGAUCGAUCUUUGCAAUUAUAGAUCUUGAACGAGGAAUGCCUAGUAAGUGCAGCUCAUCAGGCUGUACUGAUUACGUCCCUGCCCUUUGUACACACCGCCCGUCGCUCCUACCGAUUGAGUGGUCCGGUGAACCUUCUGGAUUAAGCAGCAAUGCUUGAGAAGUUAGGUAAACCUUAUCACUUAGAGGAAGGAGAAGUCGUAACA
rnacentral:rRNA from 1 species